rnacentral:lncRNA from 1 species
AAUAAAUAAUAAAAUAAAGUUUGCUUUGACAUGACACUUUGGAAAUCAUGGAACUGCAGGGGCCCCAGGUAGCUGGGGUUGGGGUGACACCCAAGCUUGUCAUGGUACUGGGCACCAGCUUGUGCCCAAGUAAUUCAGGGCUGAACAACCAUACUCUAGAGACUGGGAACCAGAAAAGGCUAGCCUACAGGCUCACCCCUUUCAGUCUCAGCAUUUCCUCCCCUCCUUCCUCCAGGGGCAGGGGGAAUAGUGAGGAAUUAACUCCUCGAAGCAGAUGAGGAUGAGACCAGACAUUGUUUUUACUGGGUCAAACUCACUUGCCCUGCUAGAAACAGAAAGGGUAGGGGCUUUUCUUUUUGUCAUAGAGAUGCCAGUAAAGUGUGUAUGUGUUGGGGCAUUGGGGGAGGACACAUGUACAAUUUUGCACUGGCCCGUUUUCUCCAGCUCCAUCCCUGUAGGAGUGUCAAGUUAGGGAAGCACCUGUCAACAUAGACCAGGCAGCAGAAACAUCGCCCAGUGGAGUAGCCACACUGCGUACCUCCUGGAGUCACCUCCUGGGUCUCAGCAUCCAUGCCAGAGGGUGGGAAAUAAGACACCCAGGAGAUGGGGACAGGGGAGAGGAGUCUCAUGUUUGGACAGGAACUGGCCCUAAGAGAAGACCCAGCCAGGAACACUGGGUGGGCUCAAGCCUCACCUCUGUGGGUGUCCUCAGAAGCCCCUGCAGAAACAUGUGACAGCCAGGCUGACUUUUGGAGUCCUGCCCAAUGCUCAGGCUUGAGGUUUCUCUGAGUGAGGAUCCAGCUGUGCUCUGGUUGAUGUGUUUUCCCUGUGACUCUGUCACGCCCAUGUCUGCAUGACACCCGGCCUUUGAGCUCCAAGCAUAUUUUUGAAAAGGCAAAAUCUGGGUCAGGCAGUCACCGUCUAAGCAAGGUUUCAGAGGACUUUCCAUUCCCCAAGCCCUUCCCUUUGAACUUGGCCAAAACUUUCCUCCUGGGCUGGUAUUUCUUCCUUGGAAUGAUAGCUCAAAGGUGAAAAAUGCAGGGCAGAGCUCACCGCAAGUGGGCUGAGUUGUUUUUCAGUAUGAUGAGUAAAUGGGGAAAAGUACUAGCAGCCGAAGCCAUCAGCCCCAGCCUGCCCAGGAUUGCCCAGCUCUGUACCAUGGCCUUGCCAGUCACUUGUGCCAUGAGCUGCCACUCUGAGGACCACUCCCUUGGGACCACACAUGGUUAAAGCCACCACCUGGCCUUUUCUCCUCCUGCCUCCUGAUAUGACUCUGUGGUACAAGGGCCAUCCACAGAGCUCCCAGCUGCAGACAUGUGUUCCUGCUCAGACAGGGCCAGAAGGCACUGCCAACCUCGGUGCCAUUGCUCUGGGAGCUGACCGUCCUCCAGUUCCUCUUCCUGGAAUCCUCGGGUUAUUCAUGUCUGUGUGCCUGGGCUCCUGGCUAGGUUGGCCAGUUCAAGCUAAUUUGAUUCUGGAAGACUUUUCCCAGUAGUAGCAGCACGAAGUGACUGCUGCUUGAUUCCUGUGGAUAUGUGUAUGAUUUGGGGGAUGGAAGUGGAAGGGAGGCUUCCUUUCUCUGGAAUCCCAAGGAGUGGAGCAUAGCUCAAAGGAACAACCAUGUGUGAGAGACACCUCUAUCACCUGGAGCCAUCUAGCUGCCCCCCAGCAUCCAGAGGAAAAGGAGCCUCAGAGCCUCUGGGCCACUCCCAAAGGAGUCCAGAGAAAGUCUUGGAUCUGGUAGCCUGCUGCCCCCCAACUGCAUGGGGAGGUGGAGAUGGACUGUCAGCCAGGUGGACGUCCUCCAAGCACUGAGGGAACUGCUGGUGAUGGACGCACCUGCCGGAGCCAGAGCCUUAGACCAGGGUUUGUCUUGCUGGUCUGGAGGGUGGAAAGGCAGGAUCCUCAGAGAUUGGCCGAGCACCAACCUCCUCCACAUGAAAUCCCUCUUCCUGUGCUGUCAGAGCUAGAUUGUUCUGGCAGAAAUGGAGCUUUUCCUUUUUCAUUUUUACUUUCAUUUUGGUGUAGAGUUCCAUGAGUUUUAACACAUGGAUAGAUUCACAUACCCACCAGCACAGUUCAGGAGUACAGGCAGUUCCGUCACCCCAACACCUCAUGCUGCCUUUUCUCGUCACACUCUUCCCCAACCCAUAACCUUGGUAACGACUGAUCUGUCCUCCAUCACCAUGGUUUUGUCUUUUCCAGGAUGCUUUAUAAAGGAAUCAUCGAGUCCGUAGCCUUUGAGACACGCUUCUUCUAUUCCGUGAUGCCUUUGAGAUGCACCAUGUCAUUGCCUGUAUCAGUAGUUUGUUCCUUGUGUUGCUAAGUGGCAUUCCACUGCAUGGGCGCGCCGUGGUUCAUCUAUUCCCCUGAUGAAAGACAUGUGUACUGUUUCAAGGGCAAAUACCUAGGCGUGAGCUGUAUCCUAUGGUUUGAUAAGGUCACAAUUUGUGGUGUUUCAAUUGUUACGUGAUCCAGGCUUUGUGGUGAACAUCAGAAGAAGCUCUAAAUAAAGGUUUAGGAUGCACACAGCCUGCUUCCAUGCCAUGUGGAAGCAAGAACUCCUCCAGAAAUAUUGAGGCAAAGAUACUUUGUAAACAUGCAAAAAUCCAAAAAUGCUUUGCUUAACAACAGAGAAGUUUCCAGUAGUGUGGGAACUGUUCUCAGAUGUGUGGGGCCAGGAACAGAUCUGAUGCAGAGGAUACAGUUCCAUUCUGGAGAAAGUGGCUGAAUACGUUUGUGGUUGUGUCUCUGAACUUUCUCUCUGGACCAUUUCUAUGCCUUCUGCCCCUCCUCGUCUCCCUGGGAUCUUCAGGAUCCCAACUUCCACUCCGCAACUAAACAACGAAUUCUCCAGAGCAUAAGGUUGAGAGCUUGGGCUGUGAAUCAGGAAGACCUGGUUUAAAGCUGAGCCACCUUCUCGCUGGGGUAACGACGGAUCAAUUACUCAACCUCACUGGACCUCACAUCUCCCAUUUGUAAAUGGGGGUAAUAAGAAUGCCUCCGUCAGCAGCCUAUUCUGAGGACUAAAUGAGGCAAUGCCUGCACAGCCUUUACUGUAGGUCUGGUACACGGUAUGUUUGCAGGAAAAAUUAGUUAUGUUUGUAUGUUGUUGGGUUAUUUUUUUUUCUCUUUUUUAAAAAAUUUUUUUUCUCUUUUGAAAAAAUCAUCAAAGAAGAACAUUGGCUCUCAGAUCUCUAAGAUCUCUCCCAGCUCUUAUGUUACACGUAACAGAGGGGGGCCUACUUCAUGCAUUCUGGAAAUUGAAAGCUAUGCCACAUCAGUUUUCUGGAAACAAGGGCUACCAGGAAAGAAGGGUCAGUUCGGGCCCCAUUUUCGCCACUGAACCCAAACUGACCUCUGCAUCUGUUUUGCUGAUUGUUGGAGACCGGGUUCUAGAGCUCCCCAUCACUGAUAGAAGAAUCACUCCUGAAAGGUGAAAGGUCCGGGGCCAGGGCUUCCGAAAGGCCUGAACAACAGAGGAAGGGAGGCUCUGUGUUCCUCUCCCACCUGCACAGAUCAGUCAGUCACUCUGUUCUACAGGGACUCUCUGUAACUCAUGAGAGGGACUCUGGAGGGAGACCCCUCUGUAACUCUCUGUAACUCUUUGAGGGACUCUGAAAACUCAUGUAUGAAACUGCAGAAGUCUGCUUCUAGACUUUGCCUUGGCCAUGUGAGGUAAAGGGCCCUUCAACCCCUGCCCCCUACCUUGUAAAUGUGCAAAUGGACUCACAUUUGAACCUCAACAGGUUCCUGAAAAUCGAAUAAUAAAAUAGAUUGCUGUAAAGCAGCCCAUAUUUUCCCAUAGCCACAGGGUUGUAAUUGGUGAUUACUAGCCUGAUCAGUGGUAACUCGACAGCAAAUUUAUCACUGAUGUGACCAACAAUGUCAUAAAGUGAAUACUGUGUGUCUCUAUAACCACUGAAAAUACUCAAGUUAUGCUCCAGGUCCUAUAAAAUGGGCGUAAAUACACUGAACACUUCACUGAGGGAAGGGAACCAAUGACCUAUAUGCAAUAUAUGGGCAGCUAUAAAAAAUACAACCAGGCCAUAAAUUUGAAUGAAAACCAAUAUUCUAGCCUUAAUGGACAUGAAUUAAACAUUUAAUUAACACCAGUUUGCCCUACUUGCUUAGAAUUCCAAAUGAAUUUGGAAUGGAUCAUUUGGGCAGGUUGGGUGUCUUUUAAGAAUGGCCCAGGGAAGCUUAAGUUGUUACCUUUGUCCCUCAAUAAAUGAAGAUCCCGAGGGGAGCAGUGCCACCAGCUCACGGCAUGGAGCGGUGAAAAAGGAUGGUGUUCACCCCGCUGAACCACACGUUCUGAAGGCGGGGCUGCCCCACAGAGCACACACCAGCUUCUCCUGCCUCAGCUUAGAUGCAGCUGAAGGGGAAGUCGCCCUGCCCAGGUAGCCAGCAGGGCUGGUGGCCUGCUGUCUGGCUGCUAAGCCCAGGGAGGGAGGCAGUUUUGUGGAUUCACAGGAGUGCUCCGAGGACCCACCGUUGUCAGGAUCCCGGAAAGCUGGCUGAAAUGCAGAUCCCUCACUCUGACAUCCUGCGUCAGUACGGCUGAGAAUUCUGCAUUUAAGCGACCCCUUGAUGCUCAUUCUGGUGCACACUGGGGCUUGAGACUCCCUGCAAUGGGAGGUAUUCUCAUCUCAGCCCCCUCCUGGUCAUGCAUAGUCAGCCACCACUGUUCCCUCAACUACACAACAAAAUUGAGUAUCGUGGCCUCCUCAAACCCAUUUCAUAACUAUGCAGGCAUUCCUCGUAUGUGCAGACUGGUUCUGGGCCCCCCAUGGAUACCAAAAUCCACAGGUGCUCAAGCCCCUAAUGUAAAAUAGUAUAGUAUUUUCAUAUAACCUAUGCACAUCCUCCCAUUUACUUUAAAUCAUGGGUGUCCAAUCUUUUGGUUUCUCUGGGCCACAUUGGAAGAAUUGCCUUGGGCCACACAUAAAAUACACUAACACUAAUGAUAGCUGAUGAGCUGAAAGAAAAAAAAUCUGCAAAAGAUUCUCAUAAUGUUUUAAGAAAGCGUAUGAAUUUAUGUUGGGCCACAUUCAAAGCUGUCCUGGGCCACAUGAAGCCUGUGGGCCGCGGGUGGGACAAGCUUAUUUUAAAUCAUCUCUAAAUUACUUAUAAUUCCUAAUGCAAAGUAAAUGCUAUGUAAAUAGUUGUCAUACUGUAUUUUUAUAUAUAUUAUUUCUUAUUGUAUUAUUUUUUAUCAUUUUUUCCCAAAUAUUUUUGAUCUGCCCUUGUUUGAAUCUGAGGAUACAGAACCCGCAGACACAGAAAGCUGACUAUAUUUCUAAUUUUUAAAAGUCUUAAUUAUACAGGUAAUAAAGGAAUGCAUAUUAGUUGUUUUAAAAGAAAAGCAGAACACACAGCAAAACUUAAACACACAAAGUGAAUGUCCUCCUUUCCCAUCUCACUUCCUUCCUUGGAGGAAACCCCUGUCAAUCGUUGGUUGCACAUCUUUCCAUACUUUUUAAAAAUGCAAUUGCAGGCCGGGCGCGGUGGCUCACGCCUGUAAUCCCAGCACUUUGGGAGGCUGAGGUGGGCAGAUCAUCUGAGGUCAGGCGUUCGAGAUCAGCCUGGGCAACAUGGCAAAAUCCCAUCUCUACUAAAAUUACAAAAAUCAGCCGGGCGUGGGGGUGGGAGUCUGUAAUCCCAGCUACUCGGGAGGCUAAGGCAAGAGAAUCAUUUGAACCUGGGAGGUGGAAGUUGCAGUGAGCCGAGAUCGUGCUACUGCACUCCAGCCUGGGCAACAAAAGCAAAAACUCCGUCUCAAAAACAAACAAACAAACACAUUUGCAUACUCAUAAUUUGAGCUUCUCCUUCUUUACACAAAUGGCAUCCUUCUACUCACAUUGGUGAGGAACUUGCUUUUUUCACUUUAUGUCUGGAAACCAUUCCAUGUCUUUCUUAUACUUUUUUCUAUUUAUUUUUUAUUUUUAACUUUUAUUUUAGGUUCAAGAGUACAUGUGCCUGUUUGUUAUAUAGGUAAAUUGCAUGUCAUGGGGGUUUGGUGUACAGAUUACUUGGCUACUCAGGUAAUAAGCAUAGAACCCACAGGUAGUUUUUCAAUCCUCACCCUCCUCCUUCCACCCUCAAGUUGGCCCCAGUGUUUGUCGUUCCCUUCUUUGUGUCCAUAGGCACUUGAUGUUUAGCUCCCACUUAUAAGUGAGAACAUGCAGUAUUUAGUUUUCUGUUCCAGUGAUAGUUCACUUAGGAUAAUGUCUUCCAGCUCCAUCCAUGUUGAUGCAAAGGACAUGAUCUCGUUCUUUUUCACGUCCAUGUAGAUUCCAUAUAUGUACCACAUUUUCUUUAUCCAGUCUACCACUUAUGGGCAUUUAGGUUGAUUCUGUGACUUUGCUAUUGUGAGUAGUGCUUUGGUGAACAUACACGUGCAUGUGUCUUUAUAGCAGAACAAUUUAUAUUCCUUUGGGUAUACACCCAAUAAUGGGAUUGCUUUUCUCAUCCUUUUUCUCUGUUGCUCCAUGUUCCAUACCAGGGUUAUACCAUGGGUUAUUUGAUCACUCCUUUACUGAGGUAAGUCUAAAUUUCCUUUUUUCCUGGUAAUGAACCAUGUUUCUUUGCCCAGGUCCUUGGGUUCAUUCAGAAUUUAUCAAGCACUUCCCAGGCCCAGGCAUAGGACUAGGUGCUGAGAGGAGGCAGACAGCACUGGGAUUGAUCACGGGAGGGCAGGCAGCUCUGUUCACCACCCAUACUUCAAUAAAAGCCUUUAAACCAUUACCAGGCCAUUCGCUCAAACAUGACCACCUCUACGAACUUGCCUACACCUCAGUGGAG